GAAUAGGUUUAGGUUAGGUUAAGUUAGCAUUAAGGUAGUUAAUCUUCAGGUGAAAUAAGCUGGGGCGUAAAAUAAUCUCUAUCACAAUGUUGGCACAGCUCUUCCACCUGUUCAGCGAUAUCUGGUUAUUCUGGUAGUGAAGAACCAAAUCUCCGCUCCCGACGCACCCACGCAUUGUUCAUGAGCUAAAAAAACUCUUUACCAAUUACAAGUCUCUUAUCGCUACAGCGCCAAUAACCCCCCCCCCCCCCCCCCCCCCAGCACAUGCGCUGUAGAUGCUUCAGAAGCCAACGAGAUCUUGUGGUGAUGCCGAAGCUUGGAUGACAUGGCCUUGGCUCAUCUGGUGGAUAUCUUCAUCAGUAAGGACUCCUGGAUGAUUGUGUUUCUGAUGCCCAACAAGAAACAGAGGCAGCCGAGGGGGCCGCUAUAGGACUGAUUACCUGGAUUAAUUGCAGAACAGUGAAUAGGAUGUGGGGGUCCCUGGUGGGCCCCUGAUGGGGCCCUGGUGGAAGCCCUGGUGGGGGCCCUGGGAUGCUGUGUCAUGGACCAAGUGGAUAUAUCUUCAGCAACAGGUCAGUGGCCCACUUGUCUUAUGACUUGCCCUCAAAGAAUUAGUUUAGGCAAUCCACUAAAUCAUCGUGAUUAAGUCCAUUUGGCUCUGGUUGCAAAUUUUGGCCAUAAACACUGUAUAAUAUCUCCAUUAACCAGAAUCCCUCUUAGCUGGAACUCUCCGAUACCCGGAAGAGAAAUUUUUUCAUAAUUUUCCUGAAUAUUCACGGUCUGGAUAUACUGCCCUUUAGUGCAGUCACUUAAUAUUAUGUUUUUUUUUAACUUACUUCUUAAGUUAAGGUUGCUGCCACCAGACCACAGGGCAGUAUGUGUAGUGUUCUUUUGGUAGCUGCCAGAGCAAUCCAGGCACUAAGUUCAUGUUUUUCAUUAAUCAAGUUGAGAAAGGAAGGAAGGGUGAAACACCAACCAGUAUUCUUAUGACACUUUAUUUUAGUUAUUAAAAAUAUUGCAUUCAGUCACAUUACAAAAUAGUUGACUAUCCCCAAGCAAUUAUUUAGGUCACUGCACCACACAAGAUUACCCAACCUUCUCCAAAUAAUUAUUUAAGGUCUUUGCUCUCCAUACAAAAUCAUUGACCUCUUUACCCAGGUCAUUCCUUCCUCAAUAUCACCCAAAAUAUUCAAUAUUGUAGCACCAAAAUAUUCAAUAUCCCCUGAAUAAGGAACAGCCAAUAAUACACACAAUACAUACAGGUGCUGCAACUCAUUCUUGGCACCAGGGUACACACAGUAGGUACCCGUCUCACACUAUAAUCUUGUUAGGUAGAAGAGAUCCUUCCCAGGCAUUCAUACCAGGACUAUUUCUGCAUCCAGUAUCAUUAGUUCACUUAAAGUAGUGACUGUGUGCACCUCAAGUAGCACCAACAUCUCUUCACAUCCAGGGUGUUGAAGUGUAAGAUGUCUAGAGAUCCUUAGGAGAGGUUGCAUAGUGGACAUAAGCAUUACCCACAACACCAGGUGGGAUACUCAAAGUAGAACUGUGGUUGCUGGGCCAAGCAUGCUCUCUGACCUCACUGGUCUGUAUCCAUGGUUCCUUUAUCACUCACAGGCGUGUACACUUUGAAACUGUAGCCGUAGGCUGUUUAGGCUCCAGUGCGAACAAAGGCCUUGGUUCUUGGCUUGGGUAUGGUUCAUUCCCCCCACACUUUGCAAUUGUUUAACAUGUUCAUAAGAUUCUUGAAUCCUUACACUGUUCGUGGCUAUUCGUUACAUGGGGUAACUAUGUAUAUUCAGCUCACACUGAGGUACCUAAAAUAUUUUCCUUGGAGUAUAGUUUAUGGGCCAAUCCCAACACUUCACAUAUGUCUGAUACAUUUAUCUUUUUCCCAGAUCAUUGUUCUCCUAUAUUUUCAUCUGAUACCUGAGGUAGCUAUGUUUACUAAUCAUACACGGACGUAAGUACCAUAACCUUCAGACACAGUCAUACUUAAUCACUAUAGUACAUUAGCUCAUACUAAUUGGGCCUUCCACCUCAUCAUAUAGGUACCUUGAGUUCUCCCUAGUACUAUCAGUAUACAUACUUAAGAUUAUAUGCCCGGAUACUGGUAUAAUUCGUAUAAAACAACAUACAUCAUA